rnacentral:misc_RNA from 1 species
GUCUCUGACCGACUUCCCCCCCUUCACUACCACCCGUCGCCUUUCUCCCUCUCUGUGAGUAUCGCUGACGUGUACAGUAGUGUCACCGAGCCAGCUGCACGCAGGGCAUCCGCAUACGACAGCUACGGCACCCUACUCGAUCGUCGAGAAACGAGAAGACCACCGCGCGCCUCACUCAUCAUUCACCAACUCCUUGCCUCUCAUCCUUCAAAGGAAAGCCGCCACCAUCGUUCACGAGGAAGUUGAACCCCAGUCCACCGUUUCUUUCUCAGUGCAUACCGCAAGCCCGUCAAGGCCCCCUCCCCCGCUAGACUGGUGGCAACGGGCUCCUGCGCGUUGCGUCGCUGUGCGCCCUUUCUUCUCUCAUCGCGCCUCUCUGCGUGUGCCUCGUUUUCCGGCACCUCCCGAACUCGCCAAUCUAGGGCUCCGUGGCACGAGUGUCAAGCGAUUCGGCGUGCGGGUGCCCCCCUUUCACAUCCCCCUUGAGAGCGCGUUAGCGGUGCAGCUUCCUACACAGCCCAUGGCGUACACGAUCAACUCUUCCAGACACUCGAACGGCGACGGCGACGGCGACGGCAUAGCAGGGCAGACACAGCCUUCUGCCGCGAGUUCAGCGGGCGCCCCAAUCGUCCGCUUCAGCCUCCUCUAUCAGCUACGGCACAAUGCAUGCUCCAUCACCGCGCGCAAUUCCAGCUCGCUGCAGCGUGCCCAGUCGCGCCCAUCCCUACCGCAGACAGGAGAGCAAUGCGGCCACUGCUCGGCAUACGCGAACGACUUCUCUCAUGGGGAGACAGAGACAGCAGCCGGGCCGGGCUACAUGACGCCGCCGCAGCGUCGCAGCCGUCCCUCCUCGACAGAGCUGUUUUCCGGGCCUUCUUCCUCGCCUGUAGCGCUGUCGCCUCCUCCCGCCACGUAUGCCGACAUUCCGUUGCUGUCGACUAUGGACAAGCGAGAGCUGUCUAAGGUGGUCGUGCGCGAUGCCGUCUUCGGGCGCUUGCUGGAUUUGGUUCCGUCACGGCAGCACAUCCAGACAGCCGUGUGGACGCUUUCGCGGCAUGUGAUUCAGAUCGACGGCGCCGUCACGGUGUGCGCCAUGCCGCGAGAUGCCCGCAAUACCUACCCGCUUGCUAGCUCUUCGCAUUUUGCCGCUUCAAAUAUCGGAGGCGGUGUCUACGGGGAUGUGGAGAGCCUGCGUGAUGUAGUGCGCGAGCGCGUUGGGGAGCUUGUGAUGGACGCGCGGCUCUUUGCGUGCUUGCUGCAGCCGUAUCUGGGGGAAAUCGGUUGCCAAGGCGAUGUGAUUCAGACCUCCGUCGAGGUUGUGAGGUAGGGAGCACAGAGGCGCAUCCCCCCUCGUUCUGCUCGGACCACUGCGCGUGUCGUUACCCCUUUUCCCAUAGACUACUUUGCACUCCCCCUCCUCAUCACCCCCCCCUUUAGAAGAUGGUCUUCUUGUGCGAUUUGUUCGAUCGGUGAGUAGCAGAGUUUUGUUCGUGCGAGCGCGUGUGUGCGGGUGUGUGGUCGCGCUGCUUUGUGCAGCAAUGGGCGAAGAAGAAACAGGAGGGCGCAGCAGAGCUGCAAGUGUCUGUUACAGCGGAAGCCUUGCUGCCGCACUGCCAUACCUCCUCCUCUUCAGCCUCGAGCCCAUCAUCAAGAGCUGUGAAUGGUGUCUGCUCGACCACUUAAUGACGCCACGACUGCAACAUGAUAUAAACGGGCACGACAAGGAAGCGAGCGAGCAUGCGAGCAACUUGAAAAAGGUCAGCGUGGCAAGCCAGGCGAACCAACGAGGCAAUGGCGUUGGAUUACCGGCGAAACCUCCACCCUCUUUCGCCCCGCGCACAAUCGCCACGCUGUUUUGCUGUUGCUGUUGUGCCGCCUUCGCUUUGCGUUUCUCCAUCGUACUUCUUACCCACCUGUGCCGUCCGCAGCGGUGCUGGCGCUACGCCCUGUCUUCUUUCUAUCUGAAUACCUUCCACCGCAACACCCGCGCACCCACCAUUUUCCACGUCUCUUUUAUUUGCAUCUGCGACUUGCCCCGUAUUCUUUUUGCUCGCCCUCAUUUCUCUGUGCCGCACACAAUUACGUCGUGUCUCCGUGACACGGUUGCACACCCGGGAUGCCCGCUGCUGCGCACAG